AGUGAACGCUGGCGGUAGGCCUAACACAUGCAAGUCGAACGGCAGCACAGUAAGAUCUUGCUCUUACUGGUGGCGAGUGGCGGACGGGUGAGGAAUACAUCGGAAUCUACUUUUUCGUGGGGGAUAACGUAGGGAAACUUACGCUAAUACCGCAUACUACCUACGGGUGAGAUCAGGGGAUCUUCGGACCUUGCGCGAUUGAAUUAGCCGAUGUCGGAUUAGCUAGUUGGCGGGGUAAAGGCUCACCAAGGCGACGAUCCGUAGCUGGUCUGAGAGGAUGAUCAGCCACACUGGAACUGAGACACGGUCCAGACUCCUACGGGAGGCAGCAGUGGGGAAUAUUGGACAAUGGGCGCAAGCCUGAUCCAGCAAUACCGCGUGGGUGAAGAAGGCCUUCGGGUUGUAAAGCCCUUUUGUUGGGAAAGAAAAGCAGCAGGUUAAUACCCCGCUGUUCUGACGGUACCCAAAGAAUAAGCACCGGCUAACUUCGUG
rnacentral:rRNA from 1 species